CAUGUGAGAUGGAUCAAAGGUGGAAAUGUAUUACAGGGUAAGAUCUCUAUUGGCAGGAAACCAUUACUUAGAUCUUUGCAUCUCUUUAUGCAUUGCUUUUAAGUGAGUUCUCUGCCAAAGGAGAUUUGCCCGGUAAUUCUUCUGCACCAAUAUAUUGAUAUG
rnacentral:pre_miRNA from 1 species